CGCACAAGGCACCAUGGAGCCUUUUGCAGCCACGUGUGCACACGUCAGUCAUUCAAUUUGCCAAGCAAUGAGCAGGGAGGAGGGAAAAGAGGUUUAAUUCCGUGUUUUUACCAUAUUGUCAGCGCACUCUUCCGGGGGUGGCUGAUCUCUGACCUGGCGUAGCCACAGUCCUUGUUUAGCAGAGUCUGGGUUUGUUCUCCUGCUUCCUUACAGUGGAAAACAACUCAUUAGCACGAGGAGCGAGCAGCCCUGGAGACUCUCCUCCUGCUUUUUUUUCCGCACAGCACAGGGAUGGAGCCUCUUUCUCCUGGCGCUGAGCAGCAUUGCAGGCUCACCUCCGUGUCCUCCUCCUCCUCCUCUGCCCCGGUGUUUCGGGGUUAACGCUGCCUUCCCCCUCCCUUUGAUGUGGGGUGUAGAGCUGGGGGCAGCAAAUCAAAAACAAACUUUCUGCUGUGAUCCACACGCCGCUUUAUUGAGCUCUAUUUCCUGCGGUCUAACUACAGCAAGGAAUUGGCAGCAGCCGCUCUGGCCGGCGGCGUGGAGCGGCCGUGCUCGGCCGUGGGGCCCCCGGGGUUUUAUUGCCCUGCCAAGCCCCUACAUCACAGUGACAAGGACAUAAUUACAUAUUGGACCGGGGAGGAUGAAGCGUCCAGCACCUCCUAAACGUGUCAACAUGAUUUGAGAGGUUUGGGCUCGGCUGGACUUGGCAGGCAUUGGAUUGUAGACUCCAAUCACACGGGCAUCCGGGGGAUCAAUAGCCUCACACCUCCAGGCACCGGCUGCAAGAGGAAAUCUUGUGGGCAGAGCAAGCCUUGGCAGCUCCAUCCCACGGCAGCAGUUGGCAGCAGCUUUCCUGCAGCAGGACAGGACCCUUGGGCCCUUUCCCCUCCUUCUCACCUCCUGACUCUCAGGUGGGCAAAGAGCUGAACUUGCUACUCAUCCCACUCCAUUCCCUGUGUCCUUCUC